AGACUGGGCUGAAGCCAUGCUGGCCCAAUGUUUCCUCUUUGCACUGGAUAGACCAGGCCGAAGCGACACAGGUAGACCGGACUGAAGUGAUGUGGGCCAGACAGAAUGGCCCUGCGAGCCAGAUCCAACCACAUCAUGGGCCUUGAGUUUGACACCCCUGGAAUAGAACAAAGCAGAAUGCUCCAUAUGAAGGGCAUGCAAAGCACUGGAUGGAAUUUAUGAUCUAGCUACAAAGGUCCUAGAAUCCUCUGAAGAUUAAUUCAUUUUAAGAAUUGUAUUGCACAAUUCUUACAGGAUGACUAAUAUUCAAGGUGGAUAGCUGUCAACAAAAUGCAAUUGUUUUGUCUUAUUUUUUUAAAAAAUCAUAAAAGUUAUAUCCAGUU